CCUACGGGUGGCAGCAGUGAGGAAUAUUGGUCAAUGGACGAGAGUCUGAACCAGCCAAGUAGCGUGAAGGAUGACUGCCCUAUGGGUUGUAAACUUCUUUUAUAUGGGAAUAAAAUGUUCCACGUGUGGGAUUUUGUAUGUAUUUUAUGAAUAAGGAUCGGCUAACUCCGUGCCAGCAGCCGCGGUAAUACGGAGGAUCCGAGCGUUAUCCGGAUUUAUUGGGUUUAAAGGGAGCGUAGAUGGGUUGUUAAGUCAGUUGUGAAAGUUUGCGGCUCAACCGUAAAAUUGCAAUUGAUACUGGCAGCCGUGAGUACAGUUGAGGUAGGCGGAAUGCGUGGUGUAGCGGUGAAAUGCUUAGAUAUCACGAAGAACUCCGAUUGCGAAGGCAGCCUACUAAACUGCCACUGACAUUGAUGCUCGAAAGUGUGGGUAUCAAACAGGAUUAGAUACCCUAGUAGUC
rnacentral:rRNA from 1 species